rnacentral:rRNA from 1 species
GACGAACGCUGGCGGCGUGCUUAACACAUGCAAGUCGAGCGGUAAGGCCCUUUCGGGGGUACACGAGCGGCGAACGGGUGAGUAACACGUGGGUGACCUGCCCUUAGCUCUGGGAUAAGCCUGGGAAACUGGGUCUAAUACCGGAUAUGACUCCAUGACGCAUGUUGUGGGGUGGAAAGCCUUGUGCGGCUAGGGAUGGGCCCGCGGCCUAUCAGCUUGUUGGUGGGGUGAUGGCCUACCAAGGCGACGACGGGUAGCCGGCCUGAGAGGGCGACCGGCCACACUGGGACUGAGACACGGCCCAGACUCCUACGGGAGGCAGCAGUGGGGAAUCUUGCGCAAUGGGCGAAAGCCUGACGCAGCGACGCCGCGUGAGGGAUGACGGCCUCGGUU